rnacentral:rRNA from 1 species
GACAGAGGGUGCUAGCGUUGUCCGGAAUUACUGGGCGUAAAGAGCUCGUAGGUGGUUUGUCGCGUUGUUCGUGAAAACUCACAGCUCAACUGUGGGCGUGCGGGCGAUACGGGCAGACUGGAGUACUGCAGGGGAGACUGGAAUUCCUGGUGUAGCGGUGGAAUGCGCAGAUAUCAGGAGGAACACCGGUGGCGAAGGCGGGUCUCUGGGCAGUAACUGACGCUGAGGAGCGAAAGCGUGGGGAGCGAACAGG